UUGUUAAGUCAGAUGUGAAAGCCCGGGGCUCAACCUCGGAACCGCAUUUGAAACUGGCAGGCUAGAGUCUUGUAGAGGGGGGUAGAAUUUCAGGUGUAGCGGUGAAAUGCGUAGAGAUCUGAAGGAAUACCAGUGGCGAAGGCGGCCCCCUGGACAAAGACUGACGCUCAGAUGCGAAAGCGUGGGUAGCAAACAGGAUUAGAUACCCUGGUAGUCCACGCCGUAAACGCUGUCUACUUGGAGGUUGAGGUUUUAGACUUUGGCUUUCGGCGCUAACGCAUUAAGUAGACCGCCUGGGGAGUACGGCCGCAAGGUUAAAACUCAAAUGAAUUGACGGGGGCCCGCACAAGCGGUGGAGCAUGUGGUUUAAUUCGAUGCAACGCGAAGAACCUUACCUACUCUUGACAUCCAGCGAAGCCUUUAGAGAUAGAGGUGUGCCUUCGGGAGCGCUGAGACAGGUGCUGCAUGGCUGUCGUCAGCUCGUGUUGUGAAAUGUUGGGUUAAGUCCCGCAACGAGCGCAACCCUUAUCCUUGUUUGCCAGCACGUAAUGGUGGGAACUCCAGGGAGACUGCCGGUGAUAAACCGGAGGAAGGUGGGGACGACGUCAAGUCAUCAUGGCCCUUACGAGUAGGGCUACACACGUGCUACAAUGGCAGAUACAGAGGGCAGCGAGACAGCGAUGUUUAGCGAAUCCCUUAAAGUUUGUCGUAGUCCGGAUUGGAGUCUGCAACUCGACUCCAUGAAGUCGGAAUCGCUAGUAAUCGUGGAUCAGAAUGCCACGGUGAAUACGUUCCCGGGCCUUGUACACACCGCCCGUCACACCAUGGGAGUGGGCUGCACCAGAAGUAGAUAGCUUAAC
rnacentral:rRNA from 1 species